rnacentral:lncRNA from 1 species
CAGAGAUUGAACCCAGGACCUGGAACAUGGGAAGCAGGCACUCAACCACUGAGCUACAUCUGCUGCUCAAUCUGGGAAUUUUUAAAGCAUGAGGAAGUCUUGCUACAUGAAGGCUAGUCCUUGGCCCAGCAAUAUAGGUAUCACCUGGAAGCUUGUCAGAACUGCAGCAUUUCAGGUCCCAUCCCAAACCUGUUGAAUAAGAAUCAGCAUUUUGACAAGAUUCCUGAGGUAUUUACAGUUUGAGCCUCACUAAUUCAUGUCUCAAAGUCCUCUUUCUCCAGUCUAGUGUUUUUUUUUUUAACAUGACAGCAGAUGACCUGGGCAAUUUUGGAUAAUUCCAUGGGGGUGUGCCUUACCAUGGUAACCAUAUUAUGGCUCUUGUUAAGGUUGUGAUGGCAACACAAAAAGUCUGCCUUAAACUAUUCCUGCUAUGAAGUCAUGCAAGGAUAUUUCCAAAAGUCACAGACUCUGCAGACCCUAGAAGCAUGGAUGCAUUGGACAGGCACAGAUUGGGCCUUUGCCAGGUGCAUUACAUUUAUGCUGCUCCACAGGACUUAACAGAAAAGAAUCAACAAGUUUGCAAGUUUGGCCCUUGGCUAGCUUCUGGGAACUUGGAUUUUGGACUUUCCGGAAAACCUCACCCUUGGACCA